UGUGUCUGCAGGUUUUUGGUCUUUCCUUUCAAUAAAGCCCUAGACAACCAGGUGUGGGGAGUUCCUAACUAAUUAGUGAUGUUAAUUCAUCAAUCAAGUACAAGGGUGGAGCGAAAACCCGCAGACACUCGGCCCUCCAUGGAAUGAGUUUGACACCUGUGAUUUAAGGGUAUUAUCAUAAUUAUUAGGUUUUGUUUUUGUGGUAAACGUUUUGGGUUAAGGGGUUUUCCGUGUUCCGAGAGACAAGAUAAUAUUAGGUGUUUUACUUUGAGUUUUAUUUAGACAAGGGACUUUGUUAAGAUAAAGGGUUCUUUUAGUAAAUCUAGAUAUAGUAUGAAACACGAAUGUAAGGAGGUGAUGUAACCUCUUGACCUGUCUUCAUUGCAUUUUCGUGUGGAUUGAUCACCCACAGGGGAAAUGUAGUGAGGAUAAUGAAAUUGUGGUCAUUUGGGAAUACUAGUUUUGAGGUAAAUUGAUAUAAUAGAGUUUAUAACUCUUGACCAUAAUUGUAGUUUUAACCACAGAGGAGUCAGGAUUCUGUUUUUAAACAUUGGCGAUGACGGUUUUGAAUGGGCUGUUAUUGAAUUGGUUUGAACAGGAGAUAUUUUAAGCCUAUAGGGCAUGGAAAUAAAAGUGAUAGAGAGCUUAUUAGUAAAGAAAGGAAUUUAUAUGGUUAGCAUUUGUUUUGGCCAUAAGAAGAUAGAGAUAGGUUUAUUAAGGUUAUGUAAGGACUUUAGAGAUUGACACUAUAAGACAUGUUGUUAAUUUUAAAUCCAUGAUUUUAGAUAAAGUCAAAACAGUGAGACACUUAGUUAAUGUUUGGGACCAAGCUACAGACAGAUAAGGGAAAGGGCAGACAGAGUGGCCCUCCCCGCACUGCUGAGACCUUGAAGGUUUGAGAGCAGAGAAGGGAGUUUUGGAAGGGGUGCCAGGACAGAGAUAACAGAAUGGGUAGAUAACAGUUACUGAAUGGAGACAAAAGGGAGAAUUGGACAUGUGGAAAAUAAAAGGGGCGCUCCUACAUAAUAAUGUAGAACAUAAGAAAAUGUAAUAAGGUUGAUACCUGGGCAGAGCCAGGUAUCAAACGGGGGAGGGGUACAUUGUGGUCUAGGAUAGGAUGGGGCCUAUUGGAUAAUAAACUAAUAAAAAAAAUCUUUAAAAAUCUUUAAAAAAAAUUCUAGCUAAUAAAUAGGCAUAGAAGUUAAAUAUAUAAUCAGAUAGAACAAAUGACAAACUGUUUGUUAACCAAACCUGUAUGUCCAAGAUUUUAUGCACUACAGGUGAAUUACAGGUGAACUCACUCAAUCCAGUCCCUGAGGCCUGUUGGGGGGACCAUACCAAGGACUCCUGGUAACAGCUAGCUGAAGUAGCUACCCGGAUUCAUAUCACACUGCGGGAGGGUAAGACACAUUGACACUGUCGAACAAGCACAGUGUCCGAGAGGAGAACUGGAAUUAACAGAAUUCUGGGGGCCAUCUCUCGGAUGAAAAUUUCCUUUUCCCGUCAUUCCAUCCCUGUGUUUGUUCAUAGAAGUGAAGGUGUGUCUGGCUUCUUGCUGGUGAUGUUUUCUCUGGGAGAGGGUGGGGCUUUACAGGAUUGCUUGUGGUCCUGAGUUGUCUGUUUAGGAUACGAUGGGGAUGUUACCAUCACAGUACUGCCAGAACCACCACCAGUUCCAACAGACCAGGUUCAGCCGGCCUCCUCCACCACUUCAAGACCAAGUCCCACACCACCACCUAAGCUCUCCAAUCUGGUACAGAAGUCCCUUCCCAGAAGACACCAUGGGGGGUUAAGGCAUAUGGGGGAUAUUACAGCUGUAACACUGGUACAGGUAGAGGUAUGGACUAUGGGAGGUUCCCUGCUGCUGCCUGCAUCACUAAUGUCACUAUUAACUAGAGGUGUUGCUGAUGUAUGGUGGAUGUGAGGACCUGCCAGGCGGUUGACCCCAUUUUGAAAGGAGAUUAUCAGGGAACAUGUGUUUUGGCCAGUCUGAUAAACACCAUUGCCUAUUAUUGAGGUUACAGCUAACCAACUUUUGGGAGCUGCACAUGACAGAGGCUUGGGACCAACCCAGGAGUCGGCAGAAACGUGACGCUCCUUGGUCCAAGAGUACAGAUAACAUCCACACCAACCUGUUGGGGGUCCCAAUAGGGGUCCCCCACGAAUUCCAGACAUUAAACAGGAAUGAUGGCCUGUGGCAUCUGAUGCCCAUCAUUGGCCCAGCUAUUGUUGAUGCUAAGCAUAAUGCCUGGAUCAAUUAUAUCUACUAUAAUUAAUGAUGAUUUGUUAAAUACACCCACACAGCACUUACGGGGGUGGCUGAACAAUUGGAUGCCACCUCGUAGACCAAAUAGACUAGCACUGGACAUGAUUCUGGCCGACCAGGGAGGCGUAUGUAAAAUGUUUGGAGAACAGUGUUGCACGUUUGUCCCUAACAAUACUAGUUCGGAUGGGAGCAUUUCAAAAAGCUCUGAGUGGGUUGGCAAGGUUAUCGGUGGAGAUGGGGGGUCUUGCAGGUGUGGAGGAGAGUGGACUGUUCCCCUGGCUGGGUGGUUGGUUUGGUAAGUACACUACAGUGAUGAUUACUGGAUUUCUGACCCUAAGUUGUUGUUUUUAAUAUGCUCAUGUUCCGUAAUGCCUGUAUCAUACCUUGUUUGAAGAAGUCUGUUACAGAUGUGGAAAGGGCCUAUGGUAUGAUGCCGCUGCUUGAUGCUCCAGUUGGAGAGGCUGAUACGAAAUCAAGCUUUCGCAGGAGAGUGGGCCUGACAGAGGGGGACCCUUGGUUCGCUGUAGUUGAUGUUGUCGAAUGAAUAAAAAGUGAUGUUUGUCCUCCCUGUUGUGAAGGUUUUAAGUUCCCGGGUGGCGACGAGCCCACCUGGUACAGAGUGUAUAGAGGGAUGGACCUGAGGGUUUAAUAUGAUCUAGCUUUUUAUGUCACGUCUCUUUUGAGACGUGAAGAGAGGGAAUCAAAACUUUUUCCUUCUGAAAAAGUUCCCUGUCUCUGCUUGUCUUAGCUAUUUUUGUCACGUCUCUUUGGAGACGUGAAGAGAGGGAAUCAAAACUUUCUCUCUGAGAAAGUUUCCCUGGUUGUUUACUUUUGCUUUUCUUACUUUUACCUAGUUUAUGUCACGUCUCUUUGGAGACGUGAAGAGAGGGAAUCAAAACUUUCUCUCUGAGAAAGUUUCCCUGGUUGUUUACUUUUGCUUUUCUUACUUUUACCUAGUUUAUGUCACGUCUCUUUGGAGACGUGAAGAGAGGGAAUCAAAACUUUCUCUCUGAGAAAGUUUCCCUGGUUGUUUACUUUUGCUUUUCUUACUUUUACCUAGUUUAUGUCACGUCUCUUUGGAGACGUGAAGAGAGGGAAUCAAAACUUUCUCUCUGAGAAAGUUUCCCUGGUUGUUUACUUUUGCUUUUCUUACUUUUACCUAGUUUAUGUCACGUCUCUUUGGAGACGUGAAGAGAGGGAAUCAAAACUUUCUCUCUGAGAAAGUUUCCCUGGUUGUUUACUUUUGCUUUUCUUACUUUUACCUAGUUUAUGUCACGUCUCUUUGGAGACGUGAAGAGAGGGAAUCAAAACUUUCUCUCUGAGAAAGUUUCCCUGGUUGUUUACUUUUGCUUUUCUUACUUUUACCUAGUUUAUGUCACGUCUCUUUGGAGACGUGAAGAGAGGGAAUCAAAACUUUCUCUCUGAGAAAGUUUCCCUGGUUGUUUACUUUUGCUUUUCUUACUUUUACCUAGUUUAUGUCACGUCUCUUUGGAGACGUGAAGAGAGGGAAUCAAAACUUUCUCUCUGAGAAAGUUUCCCUGGUUGUUUACUUUUGCUUUUCUUACUUUUACCUAGUUUAUGUCACGUCUCUUUGGAGACGUGAAGAGAGGGAAUCAAAACUUUCUCUCUGAGAAAGUUUCCCUGGUUGUUUACUUUUGCUUUUCUUACUUUUACCUAGUUUAUGUCACGUCUCUUUGGAGACGUGAAGAGAGGGAAUCAAAACUUUCUCUCUGAGAAAGUUUCCCUGGUUGUUUGCUUUUGCUUUUCUUACUUUUACCUAGUUUAUGUCACGUCUCUUUGGAGACGUGAAGAGAGGGAAUCAAAACUUUCUCUCUGAGAAAGUUUCCCUGGUUGUUUACUUUUGCUUUUCUUACUUUUACCUAGUUUAUGUCACGUCUCUUUGGAGACGUGAAGAGAGGGAAUCAAAACUUUCUCUCUGAGAAAGUUUCCCUGGUUGUUUACUUUUGCUUUUCUUACUUUUACCUAGUUUAUGUCACGUCUCUUUGGAGACGUGAAGAGAGGGAUUUGUAAUAAAUACCAUUUGAAAAUAACACAAGCAUAUUGCUAUUACAUUGUUAUAACUAACUUCUUUCUAAGCAGGGUUUCUCACACACCCAGAGACAGAUGGCUGACACAGAACAUUCAGAAACACUGAUAAGAAAAGGGUGCAGACACACACACAUACUCAAGGACAGAGGGCUGACUACGCACACACAAAAUCUCCUGUUUUAGCUGAACAUUUUGAUAACAAAGAACUUUUGUUGCAAGACUCAGAAGGAUGACGCACAGCUCAUCCGGACCAAUCUGAGAAGACAACAACCUGUCCAGAACCAACCAAAGGACCAGAACUUCCAGACUCAACCUACUUUCUGUGUUGUAUAAAAUGUCUAUGCAUUCUGUUAUCUGGGCUUUUUUCUGGAGGUUCUCUAUGAGCUAAAGGAACGAGACCGUAUACGCUUGUACCAGAUAUCUUCACUCUGAAUAAAACUGUCACUUGUCAUACAAUUUA